AUUGAACGCUGGCGGCAGGCCUAACACAUGCAAGUCGAGCGGAUGAAGGGAGCUUGCUCCUGGAUUCAGCGGCGGACGGGUGAGUAAUGCCUAGGAAUCUGCCUGGUAGUGGGGGAUAACGUCCGGAAACGGGCGCUAAUACCGCAUACGUCCUGUGGGAGAAAGUGGGGGAUCUUCGGACCUCACGCUAUCAGAUGAGCCUAGGUCGGAUUAGCUAGUUGGUGGGGUAAAGGCCUACCAAGGCGACGAUCCGUAACUGGUCUGAGAGGAUGAUCAGUCACACUGGAACUGAGACACGGUCCCGACUCCUACGGGGGGCAGCAGUGGGGAAUAUUGGACGAUGGGCGAGAGCCUGAUCCAGCCAUGCCGCGUGUGUGAAGAAGGUCUUCGGAUUGUAAAGCACUUUAAGUUGGGAGGAAGGGCAGUAAGUUAAUACCUUGCUGUUUUGACGUUACCAACAGAAUAAGCACCGGCUAACUUCGUG
rnacentral:rRNA from 1 species